UACGGGGGGAGCAAGCGUUGUUCGGAUUUACUGGGCGUAAAGGGCGCGUAGGCGGUCAGCACAAGUCAGUUGUGAAAUCUCCGGGCUUAACUCGGAAAGGUCAACUGAUACUGUGCGACUAGAGUGCAGAAGGGGCAACUGGAAUUCUCGGUGUAGAGGUGAAAUUCGUAGAUAUCGAGAGGAACACCGGUGGCGAAGGCGGCCUUCUGGACAGUGACUGACGCUGAGACGCGAAAGCGUGGGGAGCAAACAGG
rnacentral:rRNA from 1 species